rnacentral:lncRNA from 1 species
GUCAUAUGAUCUGCCCAGAUUGAAUCAGGAAUGUAUACACAACUUAAAUAGACCAAUAUCAAGUGAGGAAAUAGAAGAAGCCAUCAAAAGAUUACUAACCAAGUAAAGCCUAGGACUGAUGGAUACACAGCUGAGUUCUACAAGACCUUUAAAGAAGAAGUAAUACCAAUACUCUUCAAUUUAUUUUGGGAAAUAGAAAAAGAGGGAACACUUCCAAACUCAUUCUAUGAGGCUAAUAUCACCCUGAUUCCAAAAUCAGACAAAGACACUUCAAAGAAAGAAAACUUCAGACCAAUAUCUCUAAUGAACAUAGAUGCAAAAAUUCUCAAUAAAGUUCUAGCAAAUCAAAUACAAAAACAUAUCAAAG